rnacentral:rRNA from 1 species
UACGUAGGGGGCUAGCGUUGUCCGGAAUCAUUGGGCGUAAAGAGCGUGUAGGCGGUCCGGUAAGUCCGCUGUGAAAGUCGGGGGCUCAACCCUCGAAUGCCGGUGGAUACUGUCGGGCUAGAGUGCGGAAGAGGCGAGUGGAAUUCCUGGUGUAGCGGUGAAAUGCGCAGAUAUCAGGAGGAACACCGGUGGCGAAGGCGCUCUGCUAGGCCGCAACUGACACUGAGGGACGAAAGCUAGGGGAGCGAAUGGG